ensembl:lncRNA
GGUCAUGCUGGGGUCUCAAUGGGAGAUCCACAGAUCAGACAGAGAGAGGAACGGCGGGAGAGACAGAGAGACAGAAGGACAGAGAGACAGAAGGACAGAAGGACAGAGAGACAGAAGGACAGAGAGACAGAGAGACAGAGGGACAGAAGGACAGAGGGACAGAAGGACAGAGAGACAGAAGGACAGAGAGACAGAAGGACAGAAGGAGGCACAGACAGAGGGAUCAUCGUCCUCACCAGGAAGAGAUGUCCCCUGGAAGGUGAGGAGGAGCCUGGACCCCCCCCUUCUGCUAGCGAGCACUCAGACGGAUCUACUGCCCCGGGGCCGAGGGAUACUGGUGUUACCGUAGCGACGGGGCUGCCCGCCCGCAGAGCAUCAGGAGCCCCCGAUGACAGUCGGCUGACGAGAGAGACACACCUCCUCCUCCUCAGAGACACAUCUCCUCCUCCUCCUCCUACUCCUCAGAGACACACCUCCUCCUCCUCUUCCUCAUCACCGCCUCCCUCCUCCUCCUCCUCAUCGGUGCCACUCUGGUUGCUAAGCGAUGGGUGUCAUGGCAGCCCACCUCCUCCUCACCCUGCUCCUGGCAGGCCCCGCCCACCUGACCCCAGAGACCCCCCAGGGGUUAGAGGUCAGGGGUCAUACUUCUCUGAGGGAGACGCCAGAGCCCUUCAAGGUGGUGGUUUCAGAGGGCUGCGUAACAUCUGGCUCACAGCAGGAAGGUAAGGAGCUGGAGCUGCAGCCCGGGGGGUCUCUGGUCCUGACCCACCGGAUCAGCCUGCGGACCCCCAGCGGGCCGGGGGCCUGCGGCUGCCAGGAGGAGCUGGGCCGCGUCCUGGGGCGGCUGGAGGGUCUGGAGAGGGAGGUGUCCGCCCUCAGGGCGUCCUGCAGCGCAGGGGGCGGCUGCUGCUCCUCCUCCACCGAGAGCAAAGG